rnacentral:rRNA from 1 species
CCUACGGGUGGCAGCAGUGAGGAAUAUUGCUCAAUGGACGCAAGUCUGACCCAGCCAAGUCGCGUGAAUGAAGACUGCCCUCUGGGUUGUAAACUCCUUUUAUAAAGGAAUAAAAAGAGGCACGUGUGCCUUUUGGCAUGUACUUUAUGAAUAAGGAUCGGCUAACUCAGUGCCAGCAGCCGCGGUACUACGGAGGAUCCGAGCGUUAUCCGGAUUUAUUGGGUUUAAAGGGAGCGUAGAUGGGUUGUUAAGUCAGUUGUGAAAGUUUGCGGCUCAACCGUAAAAUUGCAAUUGAUACUGGCAGUCUUGAGUACAGUUGAGGUAGGCGGAAUUCGUGGUGUAGCGGUGAAAUGCUUAGAUAUCACGAAGAACCCCGAUUGCGAAGGCAGCUUACUAAACUGUGACUGACAUUGAUGCUCGAAAGUGUGGGUAUCAAACAGGAUUAGAUACCCCUGUAGUC